rnacentral:lncRNA from 1 species
CAAAACCAAGAGAUGACAGCGUACCCGGAAUCCCCGACGACGAAACAAGGCGCCGCCGAAAACGACGUGUCCAGCGGGCAGCGGCAGGAGUCCAGCCGGCAGCCAAGGCCGAGUGGUCCCUAUAAGAGCGGCCGCCAGCGCUCCGCACAGUAGUCUCUGCAGUCCGCGCAGCACACACGCAUCUCAGAACACCAUGAAGGCUUUCGUGUGCUCUUUCCUCGUAGUCCUGCUGGUGGCGGCCGUGUUCGCCCAGGAGAAGGCCAAGGAGGCCCUGAAGGGCGCUGAGGCCUACUACGCCUACGCCGCCCCCUACGCCUACAGCGCCUUCGGCUACCCCGCCGUCAGCACCUACUCCGCCUACCCUUACGCUGCCGCCGGCUACCCCUACUACUACCGCUAAGAAGACACAAAUUCUGACAUGAUGCCUCCUGUACUGAUUCUUCUGUUUGUCUCUUUUCUCUAAAUACAACUCUAUCACAAAACAAAAA